GGGGGGUGAGCUGUACAGUACCAGCUUAGUGUAGCAUAUCUUUCUGUGACUUAAUACGCUUCCUGUGUACCACAUACCGCAAAUCUCAACAGUGUCCAUAGGUCAUGUCAAUGAUUUAAAAAAAAAAAAAAAAAACUGUCAAAAAAGGAAAACUUCUUUAAAAAGUUGUAUCGUAAGAACUCAUAACGUAGGAGGUUUGAGUCGCUGCUGUGCUGUGCAGUACUGGUUCCAAAAACUCAUUCGUUUUCCCAGAGGUUGUAUUUUUAGCAGAGGCUCAUGGGUAAAAGUUGCGGGGCGUUUUUUUUUUUUUUCCUCAUUGUUCAUUGGUGAUUGCCUGUUUGUGUGCGCUGUUUUUAGACCCAGGAAGGGAUGGAAGUUGCGUAACUAUGGCGUUGACCUGUGACCUUUUUUUUUGUUUGUUUUGGAUACUGCUGCGCAAUGUGCUAAGCCCUACGGAAAAGGGACCCUGAUUACAAUGACCCUAAAAUAAUUAUAACAUGAUUACCAACAUGUGACGUCACUUUAUUCACAGGAAGGAGAUGCUGGUUAGAGGCUGGGGUUACUUGAAGUGUGUUUCUGCUCUCUCUGUCUGGCUCUCUCUUCUCAUUGGGCAAUGUCCAACGGCAGAGUUGGGAUACUGUGUGCUUCGAAGUGCGUUGUUGUAGUAGACCCAUGGCAUUGGAUAACACGAUACUGUUUGUGACGAAGGGAAUAGCGUUAAUGUCAACUGUGAGGGUAACCCUAUUGUCAGGUCGAGAGAUUCGGGGUGGAGGACAAGUGACAUUGUGCUGCUACUACCAGCCUUGUACGCUUUUUUUUUUUUUCCCCUCCUUUUUGUUUUGAUUUCACUUUUACAAGAAGUGCACCAAUCAGCACUUUCAGUUUGUUCACAUUGGCCUUUCAGUGUUUAGUUGGUUUGUUUUUGUUUUGAUGUGCUUUAAUUGUGAUGCUCCAUUACCUAACUGUACAGCUUAAGAGUAUGCUCUAAGAGGUAUUCAGCUUACGAGUAUGCUCUAAGAGGUAUCAGCUUAAGAGUAUGCUCUAAGGGGUAUCAGCUUAAGAGUAUGCGCUAAGAGGUAUCAUCUUAAGAGUAUGCUCUAAGAGGUAUUCAGCUUACGAGUAUGCUCUAAGGGGUAUCAUCUUAAGAGUAUGCUCUAAGAAGUAUUCAGCUUAAGAGUAUGCUCUAAGAAGUAUUCAGCUUAAGAGUAUGCUCUAAGAAGUAUUCAUCUUAAGAGUAUGCGCUAAGAGGUAUCAUCUUAAGAGUAUGUUCUAAGAGGUAUUCAUAGAAAACAAGAGGCACUUUCGUUAAACCAUUGAUAUUUCCCCCCCCCAUGAAGAAUUGCAUUUUGGGGGAAUCAAAAUGAAAAUAUCUAGACAUUUUAGUAUAGGUAUGGUGAAAUAUCAUCUAAUGCAGACGGAAAAAGUUUGUUCCCCUUUAAAGUUGCAGGACGGCAGAACUCCCCUCUUGUUGUAUUGCAGCCUAGUUAUAUCCAUGCCUUUUGAGUACAAGCAUCAUGUCAUGGACUCCAUAGCAUAUACCAAAUUAACAAGGUUUUGAGCUGCCAAACAGAUCCAUUCCCAAGGCCCCCUAGAGGUUUCAAGUAUUAACCUUGACCUAGCCGCAGUGUCAGAGAUCGGAGAGAGGAGAAAUCUAGCCAAAUGAUUAAGCUUGACCUAGCAGCAGUAUCAGAUCGGAGAAAUCUAGCCAAAUUCUAUUUGCUGACUUGUCAGUGUUGCCAUAAUGGGUUUGUUUCACAUACACACCAUUCACUCCCAGUCUUAAUUUAGCCACCCACACAGUAUUGAGAGUAAGCAUAGAUGUACUACACUUUUUAAGUUGUCUCUUAAUGUCUUGUUUAUGCGUGCACCAUAUGUACAUCUUGUAUUCUGUUUGAUGUGUGUGUGUGUGUGUGUGUGUGUGUGUGUGUGCGUGCGUGUGUGUGCGUGCGUGCGUGUGUGAGUGAGUCAGAGAAAGGGACAGUGGUUAGUGUCAAGAGCCUCUUGUGGCCGUCCUGUCAUACUGGUGACAGGCCGUAGAGUUGGAAAAAAAAGGGUGAAAUGGCCACACCAGCUCCACUGAACGAUGAUUUUUUUUAUUGUGUAUUCAUUUCACAUUCCUUUGAGAAAAACUGUUUACUAAAUCUUGCAACUGGACAAAACUAGUUUCUGUUUUUGUGUAAUGUAUGUUUUGUGUCAGUGUAAAAUGUCACCACAAGCAUUGGAUUGAAGUAUACGCUCCCUCUGAAUAAAAACUAUCAUACACGAUAUGGCUUGGGUAGAAUGAAUGUCCUCGCCCAGUUUUAUAAAAUUAUAUAUAUUCAUGAAUAGAGGUUUUUUGGCUAUAUUACUUAGCCUUGUAAUAGCAUUGUGUAAACAGAAUGAUGCGUGUCCGAUUGUACAUAUUAGAUGGCAACAAAUCCAACUGUCAUUCUAUUGUUAGUGUCAACACAAUGCCUGUAACAUAUUGCUUCUGAAUGUUUGUGACUGUAGGAAACAUUUUUGUACAUUUCUUUUAUCUGUACGAUUUUUCAUUUGACCUACUUCUGAGAUGUUUUUUUUCUUCAGAAUUCUUAAUUUAUUCUGAGAGUACUUUUAAGUAACAUUCCACAGAUUUAGUCGGUUAUUCAGCCUUGCCUGGUUUGACUUCAAUAAAACUGUUCUGAAUGUU
ensembl:lncRNA